CUCGGCGGCCGCGGCUGGGUGGACGUCACACAGGGGCGUUCCAGCGUGUCCGCACCGGCGGCCCGGCGUUGAAGAAAAAGGUUGAAAGCGUUCUCCCCACGGUAGAGCCCAGUACGCAGGGAGGAAGCCCGAAAUCCUUAUUUCAGAUCCGAGCCUCUAUGGACCCUGGAAAUGUCAACAUUGGAAAUUACUCACAGAAUGUACUCACUCAGCCAAUUGACACCAGCAUUUCUUCCUUGAGAAAAUUUGAACCCCUUUGCCAGUUUCAUCAGACAGAAUCAUUUAAUAAUGAAAUAGCAGUUCAAGAUCUGACGGAAAGCUUAUCUUAUACAGAGGAGCCAGCAUUGCAGCAUUAUGUAUGUGAUUAUGCAGAAGACACCAAUAUACAGGAAGACCCAUUUAAGGAAGAAAACCCAAUGGGAACUAGCACUUUCACACAUACAGAUCAAUUUGCUCUUGAGUGUGUCAGACAGCCUUCUAGAAGCCCACCUCUAAUCCACUGCAGUGAAGAGACACUGAAAUUCAUGGAAAUGCCACUUGCUAAUAGUACUGCCACAGAAUCUGCCCUCAAUUCUAGUCAGUCUCAAGACUUCUUGUGUGAGGAAGAAGUACACAGUGAUGUUGAACAACCAUUGUAUAAAGAAAAUCUGAGAGCUAAUUAUGAAACAGAGGAGAUUGCAGGUUCUUCCAAAGGAGUACAGAAUUCUAUGGAUAUUCCUGAGAUGUCAGUCAGGCACCAAAAGGAAGUCCCAGAAAAAGGCAGGUGGAGUCCACAGAUGGUCUCAACUUGGGCUCCUGCAGGCGUUUGUUGGAGUGGUGGAGCAUCUCAGGAGGCCUGCAUGACACCUGAUGCAGAGCAGAGCUUGGAAAGCUUACAACCUCUGGAAGAGGACAUGGCUUUAAAUGAAGUCCUACAGAAAUUAAAACGUACCAACAAAGAACAGGAAACUCGGAUCCAAGACCUAGAGCGUUGUAACUCGUAUUUAGAGAAGAAGGUUGAAGAACUACAGAUGACUACGACUAAACAGCACGUGUUUGUGGACAUCAUUAAUAAGCUAAAGGAGAAGAUCGAAGAGUUAAUUGAAGAAAAGUACAGAAUAAAGCUAGAGAAGAGUGAUACAGAGAAGACACUCCAGGGUGUGCAUGAGAUUUUAGUUACCACCCAAAACCACCUUCAGGAAUACCAGAGUGAAAAGGAAACCUUACAGUUAGAGUUUAAGAAACUCAAGGGCAAUUAUGUGAGUCUACAGGAAAGGUACAUGACUCAGUGCAUGGAGAUGGACAGUGCCUUGAGCAAGAAAGAAGAAGAGAUAGAGAGACUGCAGCAACUCAGAGGAGAACUGGAAAAGGCCACCAUUGCCGCUCUGGACUUGCUGAAAAGGGAGAGGGAGACCAGAGAGCAAGAGUUCCUGUCUUUACGAGAGGAAUUUCAGAAAUGUGAAAGGGAACACCUGGAUGAAAGAGAGAAAUUGAAAUCUAAACUUGAGAAAUUGGUCGCUCAGGUUCAGAAUGUACAAUUCCUAUCCAACGGUGAAAAGGCUAAGAAUGCAGAACUCCAGCAGCAGAUCAACAAAGUAAAAAAUGAAAACACAAAACUUCAGCAGCAGGUUGCAAGGAAUGAGGAGCAAAAUUGUGUCCCUAAAUGUGAGAUAGCUGGACUCAAGGAUAACUUAGAGGAUGUAAUAGAGUCAGAUGUGGCCAAGGAUGCAAAGAUGACACAUUCUAAUUUGUCCCCGAAUCACUCACCUUGUGAAGAAGGGAGCGCAAACCCCCCAGACAUGAAAAGAACUUCACAGCCGACGUCCAGAAGUCUCAGUCUUCUGGAUCUGAUGGUAGAACUUCUCCCACAACAGGACAUCAUCAAUCCUGAUGCUGAACAUUUCAAAGAGAAUGAGAAAGUUAGUGAUGAUAUGCCACAUAAAUUGAAGAGCUUUCAUCUUAAAAAGAAAAUUUUAGAUAAAGAGCUACUGAAACAUAAAGACAAAAUUGCAGCUUUCAGAGAGUUACUUGCUAAUGAAAAAUCAUUUCAACAUCAGGUUCCUCAGGUUACAGAAUUUGACUCCAAGGAAGCCAAGAAUGUCAGAGACGUGCCUGUGGUACUGGGAGCCAAACUGAACCAGUACCACAACCUAAACAAGGAGCUUGAUUUUUUGAUUGCAAAAUUGGAAAAUCUUCUAGAGACAAGAGAAGACCACUGCAACAGACUCACUGAAGAAAAUGACAAGUAUCAAAGACAUUUAGGCAACUUAAUAAAUAAGCUAAUGUUUCCCAAGGUUACAUCUUAUGAGGAGAUUAUCAAAUGUGCUGACCAAAGACUUGUGAUAUCCCACUCCCGGAUUGCACAUUGUUUCUUCUUUCAGUUUAGAAGAGAGAAAUAAACAGUUGGAAGAUUUAGUUAGAAGGUCCAGAGAGAGAGUCAGAAAACCAGGAGGACUCUCAACUCUCAGUAUUCUCUGCUCCAGCCUGUAUGCACAAACCCUGAGGGGUUGAUGAGGACCAGCGGAGGAUGUUAACAUAGAACUCUCUUGUCCAGCUCCUAAGAUGCUAAUUAAACAGUUACCAGUUCUCUAUUUUAAUCCUCCCCACCACCCCCACUUGUUUUUGUUUUGUUUGACAUUAUUCUCUUUCUGUUUCCUGCAGACCGAGAAGUCAGCUAAAGCUCCUGACCGCGAUGCCAGUUAUUUUAGAAGGAAAUAGAAAUGCUUUCGAUUAAACAGAACUGAAGAUUAACAGUUAACCAUUUUUGUCAGCCUCUCCAGGAGCAGUCAUUACUCAGUGCUUGUACCCAGAUCCACCCACACAAAUGAUACAUUAAAAUCUGUGUAAGUAGUGAAACCUUACAAUCCAAAAAA